UCACUUGCAGUGACAGUCCAUAAAUCAGUUCUUUUCAUCUAUGAAGCAAAGGCGAACAUUGCACUUGCUACACAGUGUGUUUGUGUAUCCAUUAUUAGAAAGAAUAGACAGGGUGGUAGACCAUGUGUCGAGGGUAGAGAUCUAAGUAUUACCAUUAGUAUGUCCAUAAUUAUCAUUUCAAUACAAAUGCUUUUCAAAAUUCCACUACAUUCAAACAAUACUGUCUGGCUGGCCUAUUAUGCUCUCUACUUAUCAUACUAAAAGGAACACAUGCAUCCCUCCAGAGCACUUACAGGUUCACAUUCAAGACCAUUUGCACCUGUCCCUGAACAAUGCAACAGGCAUCCCCCCAACAAAUCCAGAACAUUCAGAACCUGUUUUUCUACCUCCUAAUGCUACAAACUGCUGCUUGGGCAACACUGAGAAAAAUAGCUCAGGAUCAUUUAGAAGUUAAAAAACAAACAAAAAACUACAAAGAUACAGGGAGUUUCAAAUACCCCAUACAAUUUAUUCAUGUAUUUAAUUAUGGUCUAAGCUAAACUAAGUAAAAAAUUAACAGAAAAGCACAUUUAGAGCUUAGUUACAAUGAAUCAUCUAAUACUUUAAAUUUCUACUACAUUUUUUUUUUCAAUUUGUGACUAUGUGAGAAGUGCAGUGACCUUAUGUAAUGUGUAAGGAGCACUGUGGAGUUACAUUAGGGUCAAAAGUUUUGUACUUGAAAAAAUAAAAUUUGAAACUGAAAAUUCAUGUGUUGAUCUUGAAUUUUGAAAAAUAUAACAAUGUAUUCAAAAUAAAAAUAAGUGUAUGAAACGUUUUUUCAAGUUAAAUAUAAUUUUGAUUCACAUUGGUAAUUCUUUUGAAUAAAUUAUUUAUUUUCACUUUUCACUUCCAUAUAUAUUUUGACAUUUGAGGUCUUAUUUUUUUCAGUUGCAUGUUUUAUCUUUUCAGAUUCAGACCUUAUUUUUUACAGUUUCAAAUCUUUUUUUCACUUUCAGAUCUUUUUUUUUUUUUUCCAGUUUCAAAUCUGUUUUUUGAGUUUCAGACUUUUGACCCUGAUGUGGCGUGGGGGGCGUGGUAUCAACUGAGCUAGGCAUGGAAUCAUGAGUGACAACUGAACAAAAAGGCUUGGAAACUUCCCCAGUGACAGUGCCUUCAGGGAACGUAGGAACUAAAACAAAUCUAACUCAACACUUAUAUACACCAUAUUCAUGUGAUUGGCAGUGUAAGAAUUGAUGCCAGUGACAAACUUCCAUUUAAAAAUCUGUUUUAGACAGUACUGAGCACCAAUUACGGUAUAAGAGCGAUAGAUUAUGCCAGAUAUCGCAGUUCAACAGCCACAUUUUAAGUGCUGAUAUGUCCAAUUUCCACAUAGCACUGUGAACGCAGAGUAGUGUCCGCUUGGCUUGCAAAGAUGGCGUCCGGCCGGUCGGGUCAACCUGCUGGAGCCCAUACCUCCAACACACAGAAUGUCGACUAUAGUUCAACGGUUGCUGCAGCUGCACAGAGCCUUAUAAGUGUGCUCAGACAGAACUUUUCUCAGGGACAGCAAGAGCAAGGAAGAAAGCAGGAGCAGGAAUCGUCUUCUGUAGAUCAGGAUAUGGCCAGGUUCAAGAUGUCAUGGAAUUGUAUUUUUCAUGUUAAUUUGAAGGCAAAUUGACUAGUUAGUGUUUUAUAUGUACAUUUAUGAUCAUGUUUUAAACAAAUAUAUAUAUUUUUUUAAUCAUGCAGUUCUUUUCCUGGGUUUUUCACAAGGAAAAAUUACCUUGGAAAGCGAAAGAUACCGAGUCAAAACACCUGUCGCACAGCAUCUAAAAAAUUCUGGAGGCCUUUUAGUUUCUAUGCAUACCUGUUAAACAUGAAUGCAGAAACGACCCCAACCUCAUCUGAGGAGAUUGAACAUGCCCAGGCAGGACUUGGAAAACGACAUCUCCAUGUCCUGGGAUAUGAGCCAUGAAGAGGUAUUACACAUAGAGAACAUAUUACUUAAAAAUUGCACCUAAAUGUCUAUAUUUGAAACAUAUCACUUUAUCAUAGUGUUGGGCUUUUCUACAAGCAUGUAGACAUCAUCUAGUCCCUUUGUUACUGCUCUCUUAGUUCUUCAGACUACUACAAAAUGAGUAUCCUAAGAUGCAGGGACUGACAGGAGGAUGGCUACUCUACAAGGCUACAGGUAAGAUAAGAUAAGAUAGACUUUAUUGUCCCUUAGGAAAUUUGUCUUGGAUACAUGCAGUAUCUGCUGUUAAAAGACACAAAAAGUUGACACAUACAGUUCCUACAUAUAUACAAUCCACAAACAGAGCUGGUAGAGAAAACUUGUAAAUAUAACAUCAGUUGUAAUACAUUGACAUUCAUAUAACUUGCCCAAAGAAACACAACUGAAAUGAUCCAAACAGUGCUGCAUUACAGGUGGUCAGGGUAGAAGGAGACUGAUUAUGAUUCCUCCUGAUUCUGAUGGAUACACUGGGACCCUUAUUCGCACAGUUUCAGGGGCAGGAAAAAACACCCUGUAUAUUGUGCCUUUGCAACAUGACUUUGACCUAACACUGCUACCUCCAGAUGCCAUUGAAUUCCAAAGUAUGCCAAAAACACAAUGCCAAACGUGUAAAGUGAGUUUUCCUUUGCCGAUUUUGGCCCUUCAUGUUCAGGAAUGCAUGGUGUCUCAGAUAGACUCAGCAUUAGAGGAUGUUGAGGUAAGUAUUGCUACAAAAUAUAUGUGAUGUUGCAUUGUGCAAGUACAACUUAUUUAAAAUGUUGACUGUUGUUCUCUGAGUUAUAACAGAAUAUUUGUGGGUCAUUUGUAAUAUCUUAGACAUGCCAAAGUGAGGUCCAGAUUGUUUCCAUGACAGCCCCCUCUGUGCACUGUGACCCAGAGACAUCCGUUGAAGAGGUACAGUACUUGAUGUUAUUGUACUUCCUUUUGAAAUGCCUGCAUUGACAUUUUUUGUAUGGGACAGUUGCUAAUAUUCAAACUUUUUUCUAUCAGAAACUUCCAUGUCCUAUCUGUUUCUUGAAAUUCACACCACAGUUCCUAGAGAUCCAUGCUAGCAUGUGUGGAGAAAGGUAUUUGAGAUAGUGGACAUUUAUGUCAAUUUUAAAUGUAUAUGUUACUUAAAGUACUUGUUUUUUUUCUGUUAGUACCAAUACUUGUCUCCCUUGUGCUUUUUUAGAAGAGAGGAAGAUUGUAAGUUCGCUGAGACACCUGCCAUGAGCCAGGACAAUGGAGUGGAGCAGAACAAAAGGUAAAUACUGUGUUGUGUAAAGAUAUAAAUUUCUUCAUCCUACAAGGAUCUUCAUUCUACAGAGCUUUUGUAUUCAACAUUAGUGGUAAGGGUGUAAAGCAGAAGUUUAAUCACGAUACGAUAUUAUAGGGAUGAUACUAUUUCAGUUCAGUUCAGGGGCCUGCAAUCGAUAUAAGACAAUAUCUGAUCCAUUUAACAAAAUCAGUUAUAUUUACAGUUUGUCAGCUUACAAAAAGCAACUAAAAUAUGAUUUCACAAUUUUGUUAUUGAGCUCUUCUAGACAUUUAAAUGAAAAACAAUCUAUUCUUUUUAAUAAAAAGAAUACAGAUAGACCAUAGACUGUAUAUAAGAAGUGGGCGUAACAGCUGUGACGUCACCCAUUGGUUUGUGGACUCUGGUUUUGAAGCCAAUAGUUCAGAGAUUUGAAAACCACGCCCUGAUGCAUACCCUGCUUUAUCAUCAAGUAUCAAAUCAGGCCAACAUUUAAAAAAUGAACAUCAUACUGUAUUGAAGAAGGCUUUAAACUAGUGAUUGACACAUAAACACAUUUUGAAAACAUUUACUGAGGUUAUAUAUCAAGCGAGAAGUAGGUGAAUUCUCCAUUGACAUUGUCUUUGGAGUUACAGUUCUGUUAAUGCAGGAAAAAACUGGUCAAUUUCAAAAUAAAGGCAUGUCUAGAUGAUGAUGUGGAUCGAUGUUUUCACUUUGCAAUAAUGAUAUUGGAUUGUUGAUCAUAUAUUAAGCCAUAUCAAUGUAUCCGUACAACCCUAAUUAGUACUUUACAUCCAUUAAUUAUGUGUUUUAUUUGGCAGUGUUGAUGAUGUAUUGGACAUCAUUUGUCAAAGAGUUGACACAGAGAAGUCGUUCAACAUCCAAAUCUCAAGAACAAGCAUUCUGGAGAGAGGCAUUCUGCAGUGGCAACGUCAACAGAAAAAUUCACCCACUGCUUCUCUGAAAGUGACCUUCUUUGGAGAGGCAGGAGUAGACACAGGUGCUCUCCGUAAGGAAUUUCUCACAGGUAAAACAAAAACAUAUUUGCAUUAGAAUGUUAUAAAGCAUGUGGAAAAUCAGUCCACUGAAACAUUUUUUAAAUUUCAGCUUAUUAUGUCUGUGUGGAGUUUGCAUGUUCUCCCCGUGUCAGCGUGGGUUCUCUCCGGGCACUCCGGCUUCCUCCCACAGUCCAAAGACAUGCAGAUUGGGGACUAGGUUAAUUGAUGACUCUAAAUUGUCCGUAGGUGUGAAUGUGAGUGUGAAUGGUUGUUUGUCUCUAUGUGUCAGCCCUGCGAUAGUCUGGCAACCUGUCCAGGGUGUACCCUGCCUCUUGCCCGAUGUCAGCUGGGAUAGGCUCCAGCCCCCCCGCGACCCUCAAGAGGAUGAAGCGGUUAGAAGAAGAAUGAAUGAAUGAAUUUCUACUUUCAUAUUUUGACAUGAUUCUACUGUGUAUUAUUUCAUACAUGGCAUACAUUUUCUACUCAUUAGUCACCUCUCACUCUGAAAAGAAGGUCUCACACACACAUUUAUAUUUUGGUUGAACUUCCAAUUAAACUAUUCUGGUCUAAAAAAAUUGACUAGUACUUGACACAGAAGGCACAUGAGCACCACAGUAAAUGCGGUUUGUACUUAUGUGUACAGAAAUGGUGGCAGGAAUUGAGGGUUGUUUCUUUGAGGGACCACAGCAUCAGAAGAGCCCACGAUACUCUCUGACUGACUUAGACAGUGGCCUCUACAGGUGUGUUUAUUUUUAUGCAAGUAAGGACAAACUGUUCUUUUUGUUAAAUGUUUUCUAACAUAAGUAAUCCAUUAAUGCUCAGUUUGUGUAAAUAGGACUGUUGGAGAGAUUUUGGCUGUUAGUUUGGCACAAGGUGGCCCAGCCCCUGCCUUUUUCAGCCCAUGGACCUACAGUUACCUCUGUAGUGGGAAGAUAAACCCAACAGUUCUCAACAGUGAUGCAGUGGCUGAUGUCCAGUUGCGAGGGUUAAUUGAGCAGGUAUGGUCUCUAUAUGAUGGAAAUGCUGGGUUAAUGAAAAAAGCAUUCUUUGUCAAAUGAUAUUUUCAGGUUUACUUGUAAUAUGGCACAGAGAUGUUCUUCCUGGUAAUUUAUGUUUUCAUUUUCAGGUUGAGUUGUCGACUGACCAUUCAAUUAAAGACCUAACUGAUGAAAUCUUAAAUUGCGGAUAUACUGGAGCUGUCACAGUUCAAAACAAGGAGUCCAUUGUUCGGUAUGCUAGGACACAGGGUAUUUUUAUAUAUGUAUUUAUAGGAAAAUACAAUGCACAAGUAAUUUUUUAAUUUCUGCUGUUGUAGGGCCAUAAUACUCCAUGCAGUGCUGAGGUUGCAGCCUAUGUUGGAACAACUAAUGAAAGGCCUGCAGCUGUAUGACCUUCUUUUGCUCAUCUGGCAGUACCCAGAUAUCUGCCGACCCCUGUUUGUUCCUGGAGAAGAGGUCAAGGUCAAUGCAGUGUUUGUCAUGGCAUCCAUUCUCCCUCAACUGAGUGACAAAGGGACUACCAGGCAUCAGGUUGAGCUGGAGAUGAUUAACUUUGUACAGGACUUCCUUUAUGAAGUUGAAGCUGAAGAUCAGGGGCAUGUGGAUGACAAAGACAGCCCAGGUGAAGAUGACAAAGAUGGCCCAAAGACCAAAAAGAUCACACCUGCGAGGUUUCUGCAGUGGAUCACAGGCCAAGGUCACAUCCCACUCCUUCCCUCAGAGAAGAAGGAUUUUGCUGUAACGAUCAAGUUUAACCAUGACUGCAAUGCAGACUUCGGGCAUCACAAAGUCUGUUACCCCGUUGUGUCAGCAUGUGCCAAGACUGUUGUGCUACCUGUAAGACAUAUGAGGUCCUAUGACCAAUUCAGAGAGGUUCUGAAGGAGGCUUUUCAGCUAGGCCAAGAAUUCAACAAUGUGUAAUUCCAUUAAAUGUGUCUGUUUUCAAGGUUAAACUACAACCUAAAUGUUUAGCACCAAUUGCUAUUGUUUACUCUGUUCUGAUUUUAAGAAAUAGUACUGCAUUUGCAUUCCAAGAACUUGUUAUAUAACAGUACUGUUGAACAUUUUUAAAAGACAAAUAUCCAGGUUUGGAAGUACUUGGCUUCAACAAAUAAACAUUUAAAAACCCAUUUGUUGUAAAUUUAUUGGUGUUCAACUGGUUAAACCCUUGAAACACAAUGUUUGCUGUCAGAAGGAUCUAGUAGAUCUUCAUCCUCAAGGCUGUGAAGAACCUCGUAGUACACGUUUGAAACUGCCAUCCAAACGUCUCACCACACCAACGCACU